UACGGAGGGUGCGAGCGUUAUCCGAAUUCACUGGGUUUAAAGGGUGCGUAGGUGGGCAGGUAAGUCAGUGGUGAAAUCUCCGGGCUUAACCCGGAAACUGCCAUUGAUACUAUCAGUCUUGAAUACCGUGGAGGUAAGCGGAAUAUGUCAUGUAGCGGUGAAAUGCUUAGAUAUGACAUAGAACACCAAUUGCGAAGGCAGCUUACUACCCGAAUAUUGACACUGAGGCACGAAAGCGUGGGGAUCAAACAGG
rnacentral:rRNA from 1 species